rnacentral:tRNA from 1 species
CAAGGCAUAGCUUAACACAAAGCACCCGGCUUACACCCAGGAGACCUCAAUACCACUUGAUUGCCCUGA